rnacentral:rRNA from 1 species
AUUGAACGCUGGCGGCAGGCCUAACACAUGCAAGUCGAGCGCGCGGCGGACGGGGGAGUAAUGUCUGUGAAACUGCCCGUGGGAGAGGGGUAACACCAGGAAACGGUAGCGCAUACCGCAUAUCCUCAGAUGUGCGCAGAUGGGAUGAGCUAGUAGGUGGGGUAACGGCUCACCUAGGCGACGAUCCCUAGCUGGUCUGAGAGGAGGACCAGCCACACUGGAACUGAGACACGGUCCAGACUCCUACGGGAGGCAGCAGUGGGGAAUAUUGCACAAUGGGCGCAAGCCUGAUGCAGCCAUGCCGCGUGUGUGAAGAAGGCCUUCGGGUUGUAAAGCACUUUCAGCGGGGAGGCGUUACCCGCAGAAGAAGCACCGGCUAACUCCGUGCCAGCAGCCGCGGUAAUUC